GGGUCAGUAGGUUGGUCGUGCCACCGGUACGUACUGGUCUCACUGAUUCCUCCUUCCUGAACAACCGUAAUGCCAUUAAUUUGGUGUUGCGGGGAAACAGGACUGUUACUUUGAAAAAAUUAGAGUGUUUAAAGCAAGCUAACGCUUGAAUACAUUAGCAUGGAAUAAUGAAAUAGGACGAUCGAUCCUAUUUUGUUGGUUUCUAGGAUUGACGUA
rnacentral:rRNA from 1 species